UGUCUAAUGCGGGAAUCGAACCCGGGUCAUAGUGGUCGAAAACCAAACGGUUUAACCAGCCGACCCCACCAGAU